CGUAGGGUGCAAGCGUUAAUCGGAAUUACUGGGCGUAAAGCGUGCGCAGGCGGUGAUGUAAGACAGGUGUGAAAUCCCCGGGCUUAACCUGGGAACUGCAUUUGUGACUGCAUCGCUGGAGUGCGGCAGAGGGGGAUGGAAUUCCGCGUGUAGCAGUGAAAUGCGUAGAUAUGCGGAGGAACACCGAUGGCGAAGGCAAUCCCCUGGGCCUGCACUGACGCUCAUGCACGAAAGCGUGGGGAGCAAACAGGAUUAGAUACCCUGGGUAGUCCACGCCCUAAACGAUGUCAACUGGUUGUUGGGUCUUCACUGACUCAGUAACGAAGCUAACGCGUGAAGUUCGACCGCCUGGGGAGUACGGCCGCAAGGUUG
rnacentral:rRNA from 1 species